rnacentral:lncRNA from 1 species
UUGUGUCCCGAAGCAAGUAGUACCUAAGAUUUUUCUGGGGUGCGGACGACAGAAGGGCCAGCAAUAACUUUAUAAUUAAUAGACUAUCCAGUCAAGGCACAAUUGUUACUUCUACGACAAGGGCUGCUUGGGACCCGUUGCAGAGGUUGCAAAAUUUCUAAGGAAGUCAAUAGUUGCGCCCAGCCACACUGUGUAACUCGGUGCGUUCACAGCAUGGAUGGAAUUCGCAUUUGAUGUGUGGAUGAAUGAUCCUGUUCGACCAGCCUUGUGGCUAAGAUUCUUUAAUGUCUAUUUUUGCAGACAUCUGACAUCUUCUGCCUAUCUCUUUCUCCACUGUCAGGAUUUCCUUCAGUACUGUAAAUUGCUCAAAUACUCCUGAGACGAUCUCGUACGUUCGUGUGCGGCUAGGUUUACAUCGCCAGCGUCAGACAUAGGGAAGCGGCAAGAAUACAGGGGCCUCAGGGCAGCAGGGCAGCGCCAGAAUGUGCCGCUUGAUGGCAUACAUGGGGCCGCCAGUCCUGGUGGCAGAUGUUGUUCUCUGGCCGGAUAGAUCCAUCAUAAAGCAGUCGUAUGACGCGCGGGAGAGGAAAAUGGACUCGAGCUUGCCCUCGCACCUGGCAUAUGGC